GCUAAUCUGCGAAAAGCGCCGGUGAGCUGAUAUGAAGCGCUAUCAGCCGGCGAUGUCCGAAUGGGGAAACCCGGUGCAAUCCGUUGCACCAUCAUUAACUGAAUCCAUAGGUUAAUGAGGCGAACCGGGGGAACUGAAACAUCUCAGUACCCCGAGGAAAAGAAAUCAACCGAGAUUCCCCCAGUAGCGGCGAGCGAACGGGGAGGAGCCCAGAGC
rnacentral:rRNA from 1 species